AGAAACUUUUUCUAGUUAUUUAUAUGGUUCGAAAAGCAGCUUGUAAAAAAUGCACCAAUAAUGUUCCAACUCUUUUAUAAUAGGAGCCAAAUAUAUGCAGCAGUUCGCACGUGGGAGAAGCGCCCCUCGUCCGGCAUCGUCACGAUUCCAUCACUUAAUCAUUUAUUUGAGCCGCGGCCCACCGCAGUAGACUAUGACGCGCCAAAAUCAUCGCUUUCAUCGGUUUGGUCCCAUCCGACCCGGUUCUGCUGCUUCGCAGCCAGCUAUACGACGAGCGGGGCCUGGUCAUCCUGAUGGUGGAUCUGAGCCGUUGGACGAAGAGAUCGGGAUGCAGCUUACGGCCA
rnacentral:lncRNA from 1 species